CUGGCUCAGGAUGAACGCUAGCUACAGGCUUAACACAUGCAAGUCGCGGGGCAUCAUGGCAUGUAGCAAUACAUGCUGAUGGCGACCGGCGGAUGGGUGAGUAACGCGUAUCCAACCUGGCCCUAUCUCGGGUACAGCCCCUCGAAAGAGGGAUUAAUCCCCGAUGUUCCCUGGGAUCCGCAUGUUUUCCAGGGCAAAGGCAUUUGUCGGAUAGGGAUGGGGAUGCGUUCCAUUAGGCAGUCGGCGGGGUAACGGCCCACCGAGCCUACGAUGGAUAGGGGUUCUGAGAGGAAGGCCCCCCACACUGGGACUGAGACACGGCCCAGACUCCUACGGGAGGCAGCAGUGAGGAAUAUUGGUCAAUGGCGGUAACGCUGAACCAGCCAAGUAGCCGUGAGGGAUUACGGCCCUAUGGGUUUUAAACCUCUUUUGUUAGGGAGCAACCGGUGGCACUAGUGCCAUUCUGCGAGUACCUUUCGAAUAAGCAUCGGCUAACUCCGUGCCAGCCGCAGC
rnacentral:rRNA from 1 species